rnacentral:rRNA from 1 species
ACGGAGGAUGCAAGCGUUAUCCGGAUUCAUUGGGCGUAAAGGGUCCUGAGGUGGCCUGUUUAGUCUACUGUGAAAGCUCAGGGCUUAACCCUGACAAUGCGGUGGAAACUGGCAGGCUAGAAUACGGUAGGGGCAAGGGGAAUUCCCAGUGUAGCGGUGAAAUGCAUAGAUAUUGGGAGGAACACCAAAGGCGAAGGCACCUUGCUGGGCCGCUAUUGACACUGACAGACGAAAGCCAGGGGAGUAACCCGGAUUAGAUACCCGGCUAAUCCUGGCUGUAAACGAUGGACACUAAGUGUUGAACGGUUCCAACGUUCAGUGCUGCAGCUAACGCGUUAAGUGUCCCGCCUGGGGAGUAUGCUCGCAAGGGUG